rnacentral:rRNA from 1 species
AGAGACCGGCGCACGGGUGCGUAACGCGUAUGCAAUCUACCUUUCACAGAGGGAUAGCCCAGAGAAAUUUGGAUUAAUACCUCAUAGUAUAGUGAUACCGCAUGGUACUACUAUUAAAGUCACAACGGUGAAAGAUGAGCAUGCGUCCCAUUAGCUAGUUGGUAAGGUAACGGCUUACCAAGGCUACGAUGGGUAGGGGUCCUGAGAGGGAGAUCCCCCACACUGGUACUGAGACACGGACCAGACUCCUACGGGAGGCAGCAGUGAGGAAUAUUGGACAAUGGGCGCAAGCCUGAUCCAGCCAUGCCGCGUGCAGGAUGACGGUCCUAUGGAUUGUAAACUGCUUUUGCACAGGAAGAAACAACAUUACGUGUAAUGUCUUGACGGUACUGUGAGAAUAAGGAUCGGCUAACUCCGUGCCAGCAGCCGCGGUAAUACGGAGGAUCCAAGCGUUAUCCGGAAUCAUUGGGUUUAAAGGGUCCGUAGGCGGUUUAGUAAGUCAGUGGUGAAAGCCCAUCGCUCAACGGUGGAACGGCCAUUGAUACUGCUAGACUUGAAUUAUUAGGAAGUAACUAGAAUAUGUAGUGUAGCGGUGAAAUGCUUAGAGAUUACAUGGAAUACCAAUUGCGAAGGCAGGUUACUACUAAUGGAUUGACGCUGAUGGACGAAAGCGUGGGUAGCGAACAGGAUUAGAUACCCUGGUAGUCCACGCCGUAAACGAUGGAUACUAGCUGUUGGGCGCAAGUUCAGUGGCUA